AAUCAAUUAAAUUCUAAUAAAAUAAAUUCCAUGCCAGAGGCGCUAAAUAAAGACGAAAGUCGUCGUGUGACAGUAACGCAGGAACCAAAUUAUACAACUUAUGUUUUAAGAGAAACGCAGCGUGCCUCUGUACAGCAGCUGUACCGCAGUCCCAGAACUGCUCGGGCGUCGCGAGGAGUGGGAUGGCCAGUGCUGAUCGGCCUCGGCGGAUCAGCACUCGUGUUCACAGCGCUGAUAGUUGCGUUCUUAAUC